rnacentral:rRNA from 1 species
UAAGCGGAGGAAAAGAAACUAACAAGGAUUCCCCUAGUAACUGCGAGUGNAGCGGGAAAAGCUCAAAUUUGGAAUCUGGAGGUCUUUGGCCAUCCGAGUUGUAAUUUAGAGAAGCGUCUUCCGCGCUGGACCGUGCACAAGUCUCCUGGAAUGGAGCGUCAUAGAGGGUGAGAAUCCCGUCUUUGGCACGAAAUCCCAGGGCUUCUGUGAUGCGCUCUCGACGAGUCGAGUUGUUUGGGAAUGCAGCUCAAAAUGGGUGGUGAACUCCAUCUAAAGCUAAAUAUUGGCGAGAGACCGAUAGCGAACAAGUACCGUGAGGGAAAGAUGAAAAGCACUUUGGAAAGAGAGUGAAACAGUACGUGAAGUUGUUGAAAGGGAAACGCUUGAAGUCAGUCGCGUCGACCGAGACUCAGCCUUGCCUCGGCUUGGUGUACUUCUCGGCUUGACGGGUCAGCAUCGAUUUCGAUCCUCGGAUAAUGGCAAGGGAAAGGUAGCACCUUUUUAGGUGUGUUAUAGUCCUCUGUCGCAUGCGAGGGUCGGGAUCGAGGAACUCAGCACGCACCUCAGGGUGUCGGGGCCUUGGCCCACGUUUACGUGCUUAGGAUGCUGGCGUAA